UUGACCUACGGGGCGCAGCAGUGAGGAAUAUUGGUCAAUGGGCGAGAGCCUGAACCAGCCAAGUCGCGUGAGGGAAUACGGUCCUAUGGAUUGUAAACCUCUUUUGCCGGGGAGCAAAAAGCGGUACGUGUACCGCAUCGAGAGUACCCGGAGAAAAAGCAUCGGCUAACUCCGUGCCAGCAGCCGCGAUAAUACGGAGGAUGCGAGCGUUAUCCGGAUUUAUUGGGUUUAAAGGGCGCGCAGGCGGCGAGUUAAGUCAGCGGUAAAAUUUCGGGGCUAAACCCCGACAAGCCGUGGAA
rnacentral:rRNA from 1 species